rnacentral:rRNA from 1 species
GAGUUUGAUCCUGGCUCAGGAUGAACGCUGGCGGCGUGCCUAAUACAUGCAGGUCGAGCGAACAGAUAAGGAGCUUGCUCCUUUGACGUUAGCGGCGGACGGGUGAGUAACACGUGGGUAACCUACCUAUAAGACUGGAAUAACUCCGGGAAACCGGGGCUAAUGCCGGAUAAUAUUUAGAACCGCAUGGUUCUAAAGUGAAAGAUGGUUUUACUAUCACUUAUAGAUGGACCCGCGCCGUAUUAGCUAGUUGGUGGGGUAAUGGCUUACCAAGGCAACGAUACGUAGCCGACCUGAGAGGGUGAUCGGCCACACUGGAACUGAGACACGGUCCAGACUCCUACGGGAGGCAGCAGUAGGGAAUCUUCCGCAAUGGGCGAAAGCCUGACGGAGCAACGCCGCGUGAGUGAUGAAGGUCUUCGGAUCGUAAAACUCUGUUAUUAGGGAAGAACAAAUGUGUAAGUAACUGUGCACGUCUUGACGGUACCUAAUCAGAAAGC